rnacentral:tmRNA from 1 species
GCAAAAAAUAACACUUCUUACGCUCUAGCUGCCUAAAAACCAGCAGGCGUGACCCGAUUUGGAUUGCUCGUGUUCAAUGACAGGUCUUAUUAUUAGCGAGAUACGAUUAAGCCUUGUCUAGCGGCUUGAUAAGAGAUUGAUAGACUCGCAGUUUCUAGACUUGAGUUAUGUGUCGAGGGGCUGUUAAAAUAAUACAUAACCUAUGGUUGUAGACAAAUAUGUUGGCAGGUGUUUGGACGUGGGUUCGACUCCCACCGGCUCCACCA